AGAGUUUGAUCCUGGCUCAGAUUGAACGCUGGCGGCAUGCCUUACACAUGCAAGUCGAACGGCAGCGCGGGGCAACCUGGCGGCGAGUGGCGAACGGGUGAGUAAAAUAUCGGAACAUACCCUAGAGUGGGGGAUAACGUAGCGAAAGUUACGCUAAUACCGCAUACGAUCUAAGGAUGAAAGCGGGGGAUCGCAAGACCUCGCGCAGUUGGAGCGGCUGAUAUCAGAUUAGCUUGUUGGUGAGGUAAAAGCUCACCAAGGCGACGAUCUGUAGCUGGUUUGAGAGAACGACCAGCCACACUGGGACUGAGACACGGCCCAGACUCCUACGGGAGGCAGCAGUGGGGAAUUUUGGACAAUGGGCGAAAGCCUGAUCCAGCAAUGCCGCGUGCAGGAAGAAGGCCUUCGGGUUGUAAACUGCUUUGUACGGAACGAAACGGUCCUUUUAAUACAGAGGGCUAAUGACGGUACCGUAAGAAUAAGCACCGGCUAACUACGUG
rnacentral:rRNA from 1 species